rnacentral:rRNA from 1 species
UACGAAGGGGGCUAGCGUUGUUCGGAAUCACUGGGCGUAAAGCGCACGCAGGCGGAUUGAUAAGUCGGGGGUGAGAUCCCGGGGCUCAACCUCGGAAUUGCCUUCGAUACUGUCUGUCUUGAGUCCGGGAGAGGUGAGUGGAAUUCCUAGUGUAGAGGUGAAAUUCGUAGAUAUUAGGAAGAACACCAGUGGCGAAGGCGGCUCACUGGCCCGGUACUGACGCUCAUGUGCGAAAGCGUGGGGAGCAAACAGG